AAUCUGGCUCUUCCGGAGUCCGAGUUGUAAUUUGUAGAAGAUGCUUUGGGUUGUGGGUUCGGCCUAAGUUCCUUGGAACAGGACGUCAUAGAGGGUGAGAAUCCCGUAUGUGGCCGAGGCCCGCGCCUAUGUAAAGCUCUUUCAACGAGUCGAGUUGUUUGGGAAUGCAGCUCAAAAUGGGUGGUAAAUUUCAUCUAAAGCUAAAUAUGGGCCAGAGACCGAUAGCGCACAAGUAGAGUGAUCGAAAGAUGAAAAGCACUUUGGAAAGAGAGUUAAACAGUACGUGAAAUUGUUGAAAGGGAAGCGCUUGCAACCAGACUUGGGCGCUGUCGAUCACCCCGAGUUCUCUCGAGUGCACUCGACAGCGCACAGGCCAGCAUCGGUUCGGGUGGCUGGAUAAAGGCCGUAGGAACGUGGCUCCCUUCGGGGAGUGUUAUAGCCUACGGUGCCAUGCAGCCCAGCCGGACCGAGGACCGCGCCUUCGGGCUAGGAUGCUGGCGUAAUGGUUGUAAGCGACCCGUCUUGAAACACGGACCAAGGAGUCUAACAUCUAUGCGAGUGUUUGGGUGGUAAACCCAUACGCGGAAUGAAAGUGAACGUAGGUGAGAACCCCUUUGGGGCGCAUCAUCGACCGAUCCUGAUGUCUUCGGAUGGAUUUGAGUAAGAGCAUAGC
rnacentral:rRNA from 1 species